GUAGUUGCCGGGUAUUGGAGGUCAGCUGGAGGAGGCGUGCUUCUGAAAUGUUUCGUGCAAAAUGUCAUGAAAGUACAGAAAAUAAAGGAAUAUAGCGUUUUAAACAAUUAUGUCAUUUACAAGAAUGUGUAUCGCUGUUGAGCGUGGAACUUCAAUUGUACAAGAAGCGAGAGAAAAGAUAACAAAUUAACGGAGAAAUUCCUCCGUCCGUUUUGUCCUACAAAGAAAGAGGCGCCGACCACAGUUUGACAGCGCAGUCUAAACUGCGCAGGCCUGGCAUUAGAUAAACUGCUGUAGGGCGGCAUCAAAGAAUAUAUGAUAUUUAUGAAAGAACAAAGACUUAUUGAUUUGUGAAUAAAAAACAAUUGCAAAUAUGAGGAAGGACGUGAGGAUAUUACUCGUUGGGGAACCCAAAGUGGGGAAGACGUCUCUGAUCAUGUCACUGGUCAGCGAGGAGUUCCCUGACGACGUUCCCCUUCGAGCGGAGGAGAUCACCAUCCCAGCAGACGUAACUCCAGAGAGAGUCCCCACACACAUAGUGGACUACUCAGAAGCAGAACAGUCAGACGAGCAGUUGUAUCAAGAAAUAUCAAAGGCUAAUGUUAUUUGCAUAGUUUACUCAGUCAACAACAAGAAGUCCAUUGAGAAGGUGACAAGUCAUUGGAUUCCCCUCAUAAACGACAGGACGGACAAGGAUAGCAGGGUACCACUGAUCCUGGUGGGGAAUAAGUCAGACCUGGUAGAACACAGCAGUAUGGAGACCAUCCUGCCCAUCAUGAACCAGUACUCUGACAUUGAGACCUGCGUGGAGUGCUCUGCCAAAAACCUGAAGAACAUCUCAGAGCUGUUCUACUAUGCCCAGAAGGCAGUGCUCCACCCUACAGGACCCCUGUACUGCCCAGAGGAGAAGGAGAUGAAGCCGUCUUGCAUCAAGUCUCUAACUCGCAUCUUCAAAGUGUCGGACCUGGACAACGAUGGCAUCCUCAACGACAAAGAACUCAACUUCUUCCAGAGAACGUGUUUCAACAUGCCCCUGGCGCCCCAGGCCUUAGAGGAUGUCAAGAACGUGGUGAGGAAGAACAUGACGGACGGAGUUGAGGACAACGGACUCACGCUCAAAGGGUUCUUGUUUCUGCACACGCUUUUCAUCCAGAGGGGGCGUCACGAGACCACCUGGACGGUGCUGCGGAGGUUUGGGUACGACGACGACUUGGAGCUUCACCAGGAAUACCUGUUCCCCCUGCUAAAAAUACCUGCUGACUGCACCACCGAGCUCAACCACAACGCGUACCUCUUCCUCCAGAGUGUCUUCGACAAGCACGACAAAGACAGAGACUGUGCCUUGUCUCCAGAGGAAGUCAAGGACCUGUUCAAAGUGUUUCCCUACAUGCCCUGGGGCCCCGACGUCAACAACACAGUGUGUACCAACGACCAGGGCUGGAUCACCUACCAGGGUUACCUGUCACAGUGGACGUUAACGACGUACCUGGAUGUGCAGCGCUGCUUGGAGUACCUGGGCUACCUUGGCUACUCAAUCAUCUGUGAGCAGGAGUCCCAGGCAGCAGCCAUCACAGUGACCCGUAACAAGCGCAUCGACCUGCAGAAGAAGCAGACGCAGCGCAGCGUGUUCCGCUGUAACAUUCUGGGAGCCAGGGGGAGUGGCAAGACCAGCUUCCUGCAGGCCUUUCUGGGUCGCAACCUGCUGAAACAGCGGAAGAUCAGAGAAGACCAUAAAUCGUUUUACUCCAUCAACACCACGUAUGUCUACGGCCAGGAGAAGUACUUACUGCUUCAUGAGGUGAUGCCAGACUUUGACUUCCUCUCAGAGGAGGACCUGGCGUGUGACGUGGUCUGUCUGGUGUAUGACGUCAACAACCCGCGCUCCUUUGAGUACUGUGCCAAGGUCUACAAGCAAUACUUCAUGGACAGCAAGACGCCGUGCAUGAUGAUCGCCUCCAAGUCAGACCUGCACGAGGCGCGCCAGCACUACAGCCUGACCCCGCUGGACUUCUGCCGCAAGAACAAGCUGCACCCGCCCCAACCCUGGACCUGCAACACGGUGGACGCCCCCAACAAGGACCUCUACACCAAACUUACCACCAUGGCCAUGUACCCCCUCACACAGCACUCCCACUCUGCUCUCACCACCGUGACACAGCACUUUACCCAAUUAUCUGCCACACUGCACCAUCAUCUAACACCUGUGGUGCUAGCCAGGGAGGUAACCGUGUGUUGUGGUCGACCCCACCGUGUGGUUGUGUUGCUUUCCGGUUGAGCCAGUCUGACCUGAAGAUGCAUGUGUGCAGUCUGUUGGCGAUGGGUUGUGGGUAGAUUACCCUCCUGUAGCAACACGGUACAGUCUGUCAUCAAGUAACUAAUGCAUGGAUUUUUAAGAUAUAAAAAAGGUCAUUCAUCUUUCGAGAGUUGAGCAUACAAGUGGAUGUUGAAGCCAACAUGGCCAUUUCGUUUAAGAAUGGUGUUUCUAUCAUGUUAAGUGGAUAUGCAAACUGUAAAUCUGUACUAAAGACUCAUUUGCAUAGUGAGUGAGGGAGAAACGUCACCUUGCAGAUCUUUCUGUUUUGGUUACAUUUCGCCCCACUGAAGCUGUUGGUGAAACUGAAAGCCUCAUAGAAGUCAGCUUGGGUUGACUGGCUGGUUAUUCUCCUCUUCACGAAAGUAGAUGUUCAUAUUUGGUUCAUUUUCUAAAUGUCUAUCUUUUUUAGUUUUCUUUGUCAUUGAACUGUUUCCACCGCCAGAGAUGUGCAUGGUUUGAUUUCUAUGAUGAUUUCAGUUUGAUUGGUUGUGGAGUGAUUUUCACUUCUUAAGUUUACAGUCACAAGAUACAGUUAGUCUAUAUAAGGUCCUAUGUUAGGCCCUAAAUUCACUCUCAAACGUGGCACAUACUGCAGCCCUAGUGUUAUCACUACCUAAUUCAUCUACACAGUUUAUAAGACUAUCUUCUUUACAAUCCUGCUUCUCUUGUGGUUCAAACUUUAUUUUUUUACUAACAAAAACAUUUUAAUUUGUAUGACAACAAAUGUUUUUCUUCCACAAAGUGAUUUUUACACUGUAUGGAUCACAUGUAAUUUCAUUGUGUUUCCGUUGUCUUGUUUUCAUCCUAUAGGUGUUCAUACACACGUUUUUGGCUGCCCCUCUUCCUGUUCUUGUUGCAUGUGUUUACUUCUUGUUAGUUGCAUGCACCAUCUGUCUGUCUGUCUCGACGCUGUCUGUCUGUCUGUCUCGACGCUGUCUGUCUGUCUGUCUCGACGCUGUCUGUCUCGACGCUGUCUGUCUGUCUGUCUCGAUGCUGUCUGUCUGUGUCUCGCCGCUGUCUGUCUGUCUCACCGCUGUCUGUCUGUCUGUCUCGAGUCUGUCUGUCUGUCUCGAGUCUGUCUGUCUGUCUGUCUGUCUCGACGCUGUCUGUCUGUCUCGACGCUGUCUGUCUGUCUCGACGCUGUCUGUCUGUCUCAACGCUGUCUGUCUGUCUGUCUCACCGCUGUCUGUCUGUCUGUCUCGAGUCUGUCUGUCUCGACGCUGUCUAUCUGUCUCGGCAAUUCCAGUACUCGGGGGCCUGACUGGUGUCACACUUUUCUCCAUCCCUAGCAAACACAGCUGAUUUAAACUAAUUGCAUUCUAAACUGAAGAUCAUGAUUAUGUGAUUAUUGGAGUCGGGUGUGUUAGCUGGGACUGGGGAAAAAGUGUGCCACCAAUCAGACCCCGGGGACUGGAGUUGCCCAGGCCUGGUCUAGAUGCUGUCUGUCUCAUCUUCCAAUAGGCUUGCCUUGGUCUUCAGCUCACCACUGCCCCCCUAUGGACGGCUAUGCAUAGGCUCCACUCAAAUCAGCAGUCUGUUUUGAGCAUUGGGAAGUAUGGGAACUAGCCUAGUACUUGAGGUUUGAGUGCGUGUGGUUUAUGAUGUGCAGGGUUUGGAUGGCUUGUGGUGACUCACCAUUGAAGGGUUGACAUUUCAUUGUGCUUGUAUAUGCUUGUACAAUAGAGUGUGUGUUGUGUGAGAGUGUAGAUUACUGUAUGUAUUGCUAUGGUUUGGGAGGGUUACAAUGGUUCCUAGUAAGUUUACAAUGGCUUCUGGGGACCCAGGCAUGCCUGUUAUAACACUAUUGUGUUACAUGCUAACUCCUUUGUCAAUGCCUGUUUAACCUUGGGAGAAGAGAAUUAACGCACCAGAAAUGGCAUGCCACUAAUACAGAAGUUAUUGAAGGCGGUCACACCACAUUGACUAGCUGAGAUACUAUAGUAUUUAACACCUAAUUGGUUUGAAUCUUCGCUGUUUUUGGUUUACCUCAAAUAUAUAUAUAUCUCAUGUAAUGACUCAAAGUAGCCUAUUUCAACAAAUUUGGAGAACAAACUGAAUGUAAAGUAUUUUCUAACCCUGUAUCUUCAUCAAUCUUAUGAUUGAAGUCUGUCUUUUAUUUGGCUGGCAUUUUGCCAACUCAGCCACCGCAUUGGACAAGAUUUUUUUAGCUGCAAGGUGUGGUGUGUGACCAGGUGUGGUGUGUGACCAGGUGUGGUGUGUGACCAGGUGUGGUGUGCUGUGGGGUGAGUUCUGCGGUGUUGUCAUGUCCCGUUGUGUGUGGGGUUGGCGUUGAACUGCCCUACUGUGUGCACGUGUGUGUGUGUGUGUGUGUACACAAGGUUACAUGAUGUUGGAGCCUAUCUGUUGGCUGACGAGGAGUGCAGUCUGAUCCAGCAGGUUCACGCCAUCAGUAAUGUAGAGGAGUCUAUCUACAUGGAGUCUUCUGUCCAGCCCAAUGGGCCCCAGGCCAGGCACAUGGCUCAGGCAGACCUGAAGAGCUCUACGUUUUGGCUAAGGGCAAGCGUGGGGGCAACUGUGUUUGCAGUCCUGGGCUUCGCUAUAUACAGAGCUAUCCUUAAACAACGAUGAUCAAGACAGACACAGGAUGCAUGAGAUGACCCUUGACCCGCCCCCCACCGCCUAGUCUCUGCCCUUUGACCCCUCACACCCUCCCUGACAGAAAACAUGACCUCCAACAUCCCACAGUCCUCUGCUCCCCUUCCCCAAAAAAGAGACAACUACUGAAUGAAACGGAACUUCCAGCCAUCUGAACCUGAUCCCACAUCCACCCUACCGGAGAAGGAACAAACCGGAGAAACCAUAGAUUGAUUUUAUAUAUUUGAAACAGAGAAAAAAACUUGUCAUCAACUGUUUUUUGUUUUUCUUUGGGGGAAAAAAUGUCACCACAAACUCACAUUGUAUUUUUUGAACACCAUCUAAUCAAUCUACUGCAGGCAUUCUGGUAUCGUGUGAUCUGGUCUAGUCUUGGGUUUUUUUCUUCUCCAGGUCAGACAGUAGUAGUUGCUGGUUGUUUUUAAAUCUGUGUAGAACCCGGCCUUUUUUCUCAGGUCAGUAUUAUAGCUAGCUGGUUUGACCCCCAGAGCCCAGGAGAAAGCAAAGAAGGCAGCCGCAUACAACUCACUACAAAAGGGACUGAAAAUAUUUGUUUAUAGGUGUGUGUGUGUAUAUAUAAAUAUAUAUAUUUGCUCGGGUACUUAGAGAAAUACCCAACUAGAUUAUGGCGUGAACAAAGCUCGCCAGGAUCAGAGCAUUCAGUUCUGUAACACCUCAACAGUGAGCCUACAGGAAGAGCUGCAAAGUCAAAGCCAUUUUUAACAUUGAAAAGGUCAUGGGUUUCGUGCGCUGCGUUUCAAUUGCUAUUAAUUUAUUAACCUGUUUUCUUUGGUUUAUCAGUUUGGAAUGGUUUGUUCAGCAUUGCAUGAAACAGACGCACUUCAAGAGGAUAAUACAUUCAUGUGUUUUUGUAUAUCUAGUAUUAUCAAAGCCGUUAUUAAUAAUGACAUCCAUCAUUCACUUACUCUGAAAGACAAAAGACUACAACAUUAUCAUGACUGCUUCUUCCUCGACUUGUUUUAUUUUCCUGUUUUUAAAAUAGCUUUUUUCCUUUCAUAUUAUGAUUGUAUUUGUCUGUUCCACUGUUAUGCCUCCAGAUUAUACUGUUAUUAACAGCCAUGCAGUGCACCUCUGACUCCCUCCUUGGACCAUGGAUGGAACUGUUUAUUCUCAUUGACUUUUCCAACAUUUACAAUAAAGAACUGUGUGAUCUGA